rnacentral:lncRNA from 1 species
GGAGGCGUGCAAGGUACCAGCCCCAGAUCAGAAAAACAUUAUCGCAGCUGCGAUAAAGAAUGGAGCCAGAUCCCAAACUACAGGACACUUGGCAGCCUCCAUUGAAACCGGGAGAGUGAAGCAGAGGACUGGGUCCACGGUGUUUGCGGUUGUUUUUAUAGGCAAAGGAGGAAUCUGGACCAAUACUUUCAGCAAAUGCAUCAUGCUGUCAUCCAGAUGUGCUCCUCUUCGUAAUGCUCCGACUGCUUCCCAUUGCUGGUGCCAAGCUGUCUCCUCCCAAGCCUGGGGAAGGGAGCAGAAGAUGCUGUGCUCCGAGUCACCCUCCAGCAUCCCCAGGUGCCUUCCCUAAGCAAAGGAAAGAGCAGAACUGCAGGCUUCUCUCUGGGGACCGGAGAAGAGGCUGAAUGAAUGGGGAUGCAGAGAGGCCUC